GAUGAACGAUGGCGGCGUGCCUAAUACAUGCAAGUCGAGCGAACGGACGAGAAGCUUGCUUCUCUGAUGUUAGCGGCGGACGGGUGAGUAACACGUGGAUAACCUACCUAUAAGACUGGGAUAACUUCGGGAAACCGGAGCUAAUACCGGAUGAUAUUUUGAACCGCAUGGUUCAAAAGUGAAAGACGGUCUUGCUGUCACUUAUAGAUGGAUCCGCGCUGCAUUAGCUAGUUGGUAAGGUAACGGCUUACCAAGGCAACGAUGCAUAGCCGACCUGAGAGGGUGAUCGGCCACACUGGAACUGAGACACGGCCCAGACUCCUACGGGAGGCAGCAGUAGGGAAUCUUCCGCAAUGGGCGAAAGCCUGACGGAGCAACGCCGCGUGAGUGAUGAAGGUCUUCGGAUCGUAAAACUCUGUUAUUAGGGAAGAACAUAUGUGUAAGUAACUGUGCACAUCUUGACGGUACCUAAUCAGAAAGCCACGGCUAACUACGUG
rnacentral:rRNA from 1 species